rnacentral:rRNA from 1 species
CCCUUAGAUGUUCUGGGCAGCACGCGCGCUACAAUGGUCUUCGCAAACGGAUGCAUUCUCGAAGGAGAAUGCCAAUCUUGGAAUCUAUGCCUUGGUCGGGACAGUUGCUUGCAAUUUUUCGACUCGAACCAGGAAUUCCUUGUAAUCGUGAUUCAUCACAUCACGAUGAAUACGUCCCUGCCCUUUGUACACACCGCCCGUCGCUCCUACCGAUCGAAGAGUUAGGUGAAUUGUUUUGAUCGAAAAGAUUUGACUAUGGUCAACUCUCGUUGUGAAAUUCUGUGAAUCUGACUGUUUAGAGGAAGGAAAAGUCGUAACA